rnacentral:tRNA from 1 species
GCUGGGGUAGCAAAGCUUGGUCAAAUGCGAGGGACUUAAGAUCCCUUCUCUUAGGAGUUCGAGGGUUCAAAUCCCUUCCCCAGCA